rnacentral:rRNA from 1 species
UACGUAGGGUGCAAGCGUUUAAUCGGAAUUACUGGGCGUAAAGCGUGCGCAGGCGGUGAUGUAAGACAGGUGUGAAAUCCCCGGGCUUAACCUGGGAACUGCAUUUGUGACUGCAUCGCUGGAGUGCGGCAGAGGGGGAUGGAAUUCCGCGUGUAGCAGUGAAAUGCGUAGAUAUGCGGAGGAACACCGAUGGCGAAGGCGGGUCUCUGGGCCGAAACUGACGCUGAGGAGCGAAAGCGUGGGGAGCAAACAGG